rfam:Nocardia nova SH22a, complete genome.
AGCGCCACCGGAUCCACACCGCGGGUCACCACGAGAUAGUCGCGCAUGGCGAUGGCGUGCCGGUUCUC